UAAACAUAGACAGUUCACAUACCCCACUGUCCGCCCGGGUACUACGAGCGUCAGCUUAAAACCCAAAGGACUUGGCGGUGCUUUAAACCCACCUAGAGGAGCCUGUUCUAGAACCGAUAAUCCCCGUUCAACCUCACCCUUCCUUGUUCUUUCCGCCUAUAUACCACCGUCGUCAGUUUACCCUGUGAAGGUCAAACAGUAAGCACAAUCGGCAUAGCCCAAAACGUCAGGUCGAGGUGUAGCGUAUGGAAGGGGAAGAAAUGGGCUACAUUCCCUGAUACCAGGGCAUACGGAUUAUAUGCUGAAACGCAUAUCUGAAGGAGGAUUUAGCAGUAAGUAGGAAGUAGAGUGUCCUGCUGAAACCGGC
rnacentral:rRNA from 1 species